rnacentral:lncRNA from 1 species
GUUUACUCAACUCCAAAGUCACUGAGACAACAAAAGGCACCAACCAGUAUCCCUUAUGAAUAGAAUCUCUCUUUAAAAAAAAAAAAAAAAAAAAAGGCAAAGAAGCAGCAGCAGGGUGGUUAAAUUAGCGUGCUGGAAUCUUUUCAGUUUGUCGCAGAGUAGAAAAAUAAAAAUGGAAAAAAAAAAAAAAGGCUCAGUAAUUUAAAUUUGCUCUCAGUUCAGGCUGCAUCGCUGGGUCCCGCCCCUUUUUCCCGCUGGGCUCCACUACCUGCAAAAGCCUGGAACUGACAGCUACUGUGCAAACAAAAAAAAAAGGCAACAGGCAUGGUGGGACCAUUCUCAUCCUGUCUCCUGUGUGGGUCUCACUUGGCCUGACAACUAGAACUCCUCAGUGCAAGGAUAUUCCUUCAUUUUCCACUGCAAAUGAGGGUGUUGGAGACUACUUUGGUAUUGAAGCUAUCAACAAGCCUGCACGCAGUUGGGACCAUUUACAAGACCAGAAUCACACAUGGUUCCUCUGAAGGGCACGACGAACAUGCAAGAUGUGAGCAGAGGAUGCUGCGAGCCAAAUGGAAAAUAGAGACCGAGAACCCCAACUUAGAAACACACAAAGAACUAGAGCAUUUUACAGAAAUGCCCACUACCUGGCAAAAAUGGCUGUUGGCAUUUUUUGCAGUACAUACUGCCAAGAAGCAAAGUUCCCUUACAAAUCGGUUGGUAAGAGAUUGA